AUAGAGACUCAGAGCUGCAUAUCAAUAAGCGGAGGAAAAGAAACUAACUAGGAUUCCCUCAGUAACGGCGAGUGAAGCGGGAAGAGCUCAAAUUUGAAAUCUUCAAGGUUCUACCUUGACGAAUUGUAGUUUAAAGAAGUGUUUUCUGUUGGAGUUUUGGUAAAAGUUCUUUGGAAUAGGACAUCAUAGAGGGUGAGAAUCCCGUAUUUGACCAUUAUUUCCAACUUUGUGAUACACUUUCAAAGAGUCGGAUUGUUUGGGAAUGCAGUCCAAAAUGGGUGGCAAAUUUCAUCUAAAGCUAAAUACUGGCGAGAGACCGAUAGCGAACAAGUACCGUGAGGGAAAGAUGAAAAGAACUUUGAAAAGAGAGUUAAACAGUACGUGAAAUUGCCAAAAGGGAAGCGUUUGACACCAGUGUUGUUUUCUCGAAAAUCAAUUAAAAAUGGCGGGAUGUUGUGUUGUAUUGACUUUAUCAGCUUUCUGCACUCUUUUUCCUGUCUUUUUUAAUGCACUUUUCGUUUAACAAGUCAACAUCAAUUUCUUUUGUUGUAAAAGAGUCAUUGGAAGGUGGCUUUCUUUUCGGAGAAAGUGUUUAUAGCCUUUGGCUUCUGCAAUCGGAGAGAUUGAGGUCUGCAGCGUAGAUCCUUCGGGGUUAGAUACAUUUGUGCUAAGUUAUAGCCUUUCAUAGACAACUUGUUGACUAUGAUCAGUCAUGUAGCUUACUCGCUUAUGCUAUUUUACCUACGCUUAGGAUGUUGACGAGACUGUCGAUCUC
rnacentral:rRNA from 1 species